GCUCUGUGAUGAACCCCAUGCGUGUCAUCUGAGCCUGACUUCCCUGUUGUCUUAGCCCAGGUAGUGUUCUACUCCCCAGGGCUGUUGUUGUCUGACAUGGCAGGGAGGUCUAGGGCAAAGGAUCAGUCCUUAUAUUCUGAGAGC
rnacentral:snoRNA from 1 species